rnacentral:rRNA from 1 species
GACGAACGCUGGCGGCGUGCUUAACACAUGCAAGUCGAACGGAAAGGCCCUGCUUUUGUGGGGUGCUCGAGUGGCGAACGGGUGAGUAACACGUGAGUAACCUGCCCUUGACUUUGGGAUAACUUCAGGAAACUGGGGCUAAUACCGGAUAGGAGCUCCUGCUGCAUGGUGGGGGUUGGAAAGUUUCGGCGGUUGGGGAUGGACUCGCGGCUUAUCAGCUUGUUGGUGGGGUAGUGGCUUACCAAGGCUUUGACGGGUAGCCGGCCUGAGAGGGUGACCGGCCACAUUGGGACUGAGAUACGGCCCAGACUCCGACGGGAGGCAGCGGUGGGGGAUGUUGCACAAUGGGCAGGAGCCAGAUGCAGCAACGCCGCGUGCGGGAUAUCGGCCUUCGGGUUGUAAACCACUUUCGCCUGUGACGAAGCGUGAAUGACGGUAAUGGAUAAAGAAGCACCGGCUAACUACGUG